rnacentral:rRNA from 1 species
UACACAUGCAAGUCNAACGGCAGCAUANGAGCUUGCUCCUGAUGGCGAGUGGCGAACGGGUGAGUAAUAUAUCGGAACGUGCCCUANAGUGGGGGAUAACUANUCNAAAGAUUAGCUAAUACCGCAUACNAUCUACGGAUGAAANUGGGGGAUC